UGGGGAAUAUUGCACAAUGGAGGGAACUCUGAUGCAGCGACGCCGCGUGAACGAAGAAGGCCUUCGAGUCGUAAAGUUCUUUUAUAUGGGAAGAUAAUGACGGUACCAUAAGAAAAAGCCCCGGCUAACUACGUGCCAGCAGCCGCGGUAAUACGUAGGGGGCUAGCGUUGUCCGGAAUCACUGGGCGUAAAGGGUUCGCAGGCGGAAAUGCAAGUCAGAUGUAAAAGGCAGUAGCUUAACUACUGUAAGCAUUUGAAACUGCAUAUCUUGAGAAGAGUAGAGGUAAGUGGAAUUUUUAGUGUAGCGGUGAAAUGCGUAGAUAUUAAAAAGAAUACCGGUGGCGAAGGCGACUUACUGGGCUCAUUCUGACGCUGAGGAACGAAAGCGUGGGUAGCAAACAGG
rnacentral:rRNA from 1 species